rnacentral:rRNA from 1 species
UUUUUAAUGAGAGUUUGAUCCUGGCUCAGGAUGAACGCUGGCGGCGUGCCUAACACAUGCAAGUCGAGCGCGGUUAUUAUUCAACAUUGAGU